UACGUAGGGAGCAAGCGUUGUCCGGAAUCAUUGGGCGUAAAGCGCGCGUAGGUGGCCUCAUAAGUCCGCUGUGAAAGUCCAAGGCUCAACCUUGGAAAGCCGGUGGAUACUGUGAGGCUAGAGUACGGAAGAGGCGAGUGGAAUUCCUGGUGUAGCGGUGGAAUGCGCAGAUAUCAGGAGGAACACCAAUAGCGAAGGCAGCUCGCUGGGACGGUACUGACGCUAAGGCGCGAAAGCGUGGGGAGCGAACAGGG
rnacentral:rRNA from 1 species